AUACUCCAAAAAUAUCUCAAUUAUUUUAUUUUCUUUCUUCCAUUUUCUGGAACUCUAUUGCACUUCCUCUCCCUCUCCCUCUUGUCUCACCGACACUCUCCCUCUUUCUUUCUCUCUCUCUCUCUCUCUCGGUCCUGCUCCGGCGUGCCACCAGCGUCGCCGCCGUGCUUCGUCCCCAUCUCAUUCUUCCCCCGUCGGCUCGACAACCCUCGUGGUUCGUUGGUGAUGUCGAGGCUCGGUUCUCAUCCCACCUUUGCACUCUCUCCUUGUGAUUGUGUCGCCGCCGCUGUCGCCACCAUUGGUGGCCCUUAUUGCCGUCAUUGAUCUUCCACCACUCAAUUGGGUAAUCUCUCUAAUCUAUUGUCAAAUGAUUUAAAUUUGAUUGAAUUGGAAAAUCACAAACCCUAUCUUCCUAUUUCUAUGAUUUUCUAUCUCACCUCCGGCGAGAGGCUGUCGCCGCCUCUGUUGGCUCGCCACCAUCACCGAUGACCAUCGGGUGGUUGCCUUGUUGUUGCUGUUUAUUUCUCCUCUGCCUCCCUUGCAUCCACUGCUUCCUCUUUGUUCGUUGGAGCUCCGUAGCUUUGUUGGAGCUAUUGCUGCUAUGGUUAUUGUUGAUUCUUGUUGUCAUUGAUUUCCUUCCUGCUUCAUUGUUUCCUUAAGGGUAUCGUUCAAACCCCCCUAAUUUUAUUUCAUCUAUUUUUAGUUUAGCUAUUCAACUGUAAUAAUUUCAAGGAAUUGAUUUUAGUAUUAUUUAGGGAAUUAUGAAGAUUUAAAUUUAUUAAUUUAAGCUAUUUUAUAGCAUUAUUAAGGAAUUCAAGUUAACACCUUUUUCUUAAAAAGGUUUUCUAAAUAAGAAUAUGAUUAAGAAUUUUUAUAUUUAAUGUAUGAAUUAAACAAGUAUUAUAGUUACCAUUUUAGUCCUAACUACGUUUAUAAAUUCAAUUUGAUUUUAUUAAAAGCAAAACAAUUUUUAUGGCUAAUCUUAAAACAAAUUUCAUAAGUUUAUUGAAAAGGAAUUCUUAGAGAGUUCGAUUAGGUUUCCAAUAGGAUGAUAGUGAGUAUUUAUUAAUUUAUGUCCUUAUGUGUUGAGGUAAAAUGAAUUGGAGAACAAAUACGGAGAAUCAUAUCAUGGAGUUAAGGGCGGGGAAUAAUGAUUGAAUGUUUGGCUUGGAGUUUAUGCAUUCAGAUUUAAGUGUUAAAAUGUUUUGCAGGUUGGGAUGAUCAUGUCUAGGUAAAUGGCAAAGGAAUGUUUAGAGUUUAAUGCAAGAUUUGCUUGUGUCAUGGCGAAAAUGAUUAAAGAUUGUGUUCUAAGUUGCUCCAGUGUAAAUUGAGCUUUAUUGAAGUUUGAUAUUUUAGGUUGAAUGUAAAUCUUUAUUAUUAUUUUGCGUUGGAUUACUAUUAAUUGUUGUAGUUAUCGGUAUGUUAUAUUGAGGCUUUGAGCUGCUGGUUUGAGUUUAGCUGAUUAAAUAUAGGCUAAGGGUGAUAAGCAAGCACCUCGUUAAGGGCGGGCUAUUACAAUCGCACCUUUCAAUAUCGCAUUUUCAUACCCCAA